UGGGGAAUAUUGCGCAAUGGGGGCAACCCUGACGCAGCAACGCCGCGUGCGGGACGACGGCCUUCGGGUUGUAAACCGCUUUCAGCAGGGAAGAUAGUGACGGUACCUGCACAAGAAGCCCCGGCUAACUACGUGCCAGCAGCCGCGGUAAUACGUAGGGGGCUAGCGUUAUCCGGAUUUACUGGGCGUAAAGGGUGCGUAGGUGGUCCUUCAAGUCGGUGGUUAAAGGCUACGGCUCAACCGUAGUAAGCCGCCGAAACUGGAGGACUUGAGUGCAGGAGAGGAAAGUGGAAUUCCCAGUGUAGCGGUGAAAUGCGUAGAUAUUGGGAGGAACACCAGUAGCGAAGGCGGCUUUCUGGACUGCAACUGACACUGAGGCACGAAAGCGUGGGUAGCAAACAGG
rnacentral:rRNA from 1 species